rnacentral:rRNA from 1 species
GACGAACGCUGGCGGCGUGCCUAAUACAUGCAAGUAGGACGCAGUUGCGAACGUGUGAGUAACGCGUAGGUAACUACCUAUUAGAGGGGGAUAACUAUUGGAAACGAUAGCUAAUACCGCAUACUAGUAGAUGGACCUGCGUUGUAUUAGCUAGUAGGUAGGGUAAUGGCCUACCUAGGCAACGAUACAUAGCCGGCCUGAGGGGGGGAACGGCCACACUGGGACUGGGACACGGCCCAGAGUCCUGAGGGAGGCCGCAGUAGGGAAUCUUCGGACAUGGGGGGAACCCUGACCGGGCAACGCCGCGUGAGUGAAGAAGGUUUUCGGAUCGUAAAGCUCUGUUGGUAAGGAAGCGGUACUUAACCAGAAAGGAACGGCUAACUACGUGCCAGCAGCCGCGGUAAUAC